GGCCUUUAAAAUAAGCAACAUUAUCAAAUAAAUCAAGAUUGAAAAACUUGAUUAGAAAUUACCUCGAGACUUCAUGAAUGACUUUGAUACCACAUCAAUCCUCAUGUUUGCUGGCGUGAAGAAACCCAGGAGAUGUUUUAUCAUUUCUUCAUCCCAGAUCUUGUACACAUAAUCUCCAUAUAUAACAUGUUCUGUUGGAUAAACAAGCAAAUUCUCUGCAACAAAAAAUUGUCAAUCAUAGUUAAUUAAGAAUUCUCAAGCGUGCUCAAUCAUAAGUGUUAAGGAAUGUCAAUUUGUGUACAUAUUCCUAAUUAGCUAAUUAUAUAUUCCUUAUCCCCUAUUUGAAAUCUAGAAUUUU
rnacentral:misc_RNA from 1 species